rnacentral:tRNA from 1 species
AGGGGCGGCCAAAGUCAGCAAGAACUGCUAAUUCCUGCCUCCGAGCCUUAAAUCUCGGCCCCCUU